rnacentral:rRNA from 1 species
CCUACGGGUGGCAGCAGUGAGGAAUAUUGGUCAAUGGGCGAGAGCCUGAACCAGCCAAGUCGCGUGAGGGAAGACGGUCCUAUGGAUUGUAAACCUCUUUUGCCGGGGAGCAAAAAGCGGUACGUGUACCGCAUCGCGUGUACCCGGCGAACAAGCAUAGGAUAACUCCGUGCCAGCAGCCGCGGUAAUACGGAGGAUGCGAGCGUUAUCCGGAUUGAUUGGGUUUAACGGGUGCGCCGGGGUGGAGUUAAGUCAGCGGUAAAAUUUCGGGGCUCAACCCCGACAAGCCGUUGAAACUGGCUUGCUAGAGUGGGCGAGAAGUAGGCGGAAUGCGUGGUGUAGCGGUGAAAUGCAUAGAUAUCACGCAGAACUCCGAUUGCGAAGGCAGCAUACCGGCGCCCAACUGACGCUCAGGCACGAAAGCGUGGGUAUCGAACAGGAUUAGAUACCCUUGUAGUC